rnacentral:rRNA from 1 species
CACGUAGGGUGCGAGCGUUGUCCGGAAUUAUUGGGCGUAAAGAGCUCGUAGGCGGUGUGUCGCGUCGGCCGUGAAAACCUGCAGCUUAACUGUGGGCUUGCGGUCGAUACGGGGCAUCACUGGAGUUCGGCAGGGGGAGACUGGAAUUCCUGGUGUAGCGGGUGAAAAUGCGCAGAUAUCAGGGAGGGAAACACCCGGGUUGGGCGAAAGGGCGGGGGUCUCUGGGG